UCCCAACAUGGCGGCAUCCCGCCGUUGCCCGCGCCUCACCCCCACCGGCGGCCAUGUUGGGUGCGGCGCGGCCUCCCCGCCCCGCCCCGCCCUGCCCCACCGGGCCGCUGCCGAGCGCGUCAGCCCGCCCUACCUUGCAGAAGCAGAGGCCGCGCUCCAGGCCGGGCUGAGAUGAGGGGAAAAAAAUACAUGAACACCAAAAGACGAGCACAGCUCCAGUGAGAAAAAGUGGUAAAUAGUGCCUCAUUCCCUCCUGAGCCCUCAGAGAGCAAACCUGCUCCUCCCAAGUGCAGGAGGAAGACUGCAGCCACAGCUGAGAGAAGAGAAGAGAAGAGAAGGAACUGAACACACUCCAGUUUGAUGAACUGCUCACUGAACCGCAGAGCAACAGAGAGAAGCGCAGCAAGCACGUUCCCAGCACUGAAAGGGGUGGAUGGAGGCAGAUCAUCAGUUAAAAGCAAAGAGCCACAAUCUCAUCUUACGCUAACUUGGUUAUUGCAGCUUUAAGAGAGAGGUUUGGGAAGUUUUCCACUCCGUACUACUCUUGCACACCCCUUCUAAAAUUAGACAGGGGCAGCUGGCUAUUGCAGCCAAAGAUCAGCUCGAGCUCCCCCAGACUCCCUCCGUCCUUUCCUUGACCGACGUGGCUCCCAAGAGCCCAGAGGAAUUUGGGGAAGGGUGCGUCCACCUGUUGGACAUGGAAUGAGGUUGUCCAGGCAUUCAGAUAUAAAUCCAACUGUCAGGAGCUGACAAUAAAACAGGACACAGGACAGCUGUGAGAACUACAGGAACAACCCCUCUGCCACCUAUUCCGCACUCCUACAAUUUUGCCGUUUGUUUUACAGCAGAAACAAUGCAUGAAAAAUUGUUGGCCACAUGAUUUGAGCUUACGAAAUAGAAGGGAUCACUUCUGAUUUGUUCUCAUAAUUUUCCAGCUGUGGUACCGGAUCUUUGCACACAAUCUGGCAAGUUGUUCAUAUAUCAUUACACGCCUCCAAAAAUUUUUUUUUCUUAAAUACAGCAUGCCUGGGAUUGUACUGCACAAGGUGCACAUAGCUGCAUGCUGUACACAAAAUACUUUUAUGCCUACCUUAACAUGGAGCUCACUUUGCCUUUUGCACUCAAUUUGAGCUGAAUCAAUUAUAAAGUGUAUGAAAACCAUUUUUUUUGUUUUUACUUUGUGGAAAAUGAGCAAAUGCUUUAGUUGGAGUGAAAAAUGGGGGAGGAGUGGAAAUUAGUCCUUUUAACAAACCCGCUUAGCAUGCUCAAAACUCCACCGCUCAGCGUAACAUGACACAGAGCAGGGUGUGAGAGACAAGGUAACAACAGCUGGGGCUGCGUGUUGGUUUAGGUCCCUUUUCCAGCACACAGGGCUGAGGGCAAUACAGGUAUUGUCACCCUCUAGGUGCUCACAGGUGACAGCAGGAGCAGCAGAAGAGGGGCCACGCUCCACCCUGGGCUGGCUGCCUGCACAGGGGCUCUCUCCAGCUGCAGGUGUCUGUCUGCUCGCAGCCCAAAGAGUGGUUUAACUCUGUUUUCCAGUCCAACUUGCAGAGCGCUGGAAAUUUUGGCUGUGCGUUGAUUUGUAGCUUGUUCUGCUCCCCAGAGAUGCCGUUCUGCACAAAGCUUUUUUACUGUAAGCCCACAGAACGAGAAAUGUCCCCUCUUCAGUCUCAAGGCCAGACCUGGUGUGCUUGCUCUAUAUAAGCACAUUUUUGCUGUCACAGACUAUUUAAUUUGCUGAGCUGCUGACAGUUAAGGACAGGUCAACCUCAGAAGGGAGAUUUCCCUAGAAGAAGCCAAAGUAUUUUACAAUUUGCAAGAAACAUCAAAUGGCUAUGCUUGCUGCCGGCAAUGAAGUAAUUAUACAAGGAGGAUAGUAAUCAGCUGCCCGUGAGCAACACAGACAGACAUUACUCUUCACCUCUGGCUGAGGAGGAGUUACUUAAUGAGAUCUGCAUUAAUUACCUGUGAAUAUUUAAUGAGAGCCUUUUAAGGACCAAGCCACAAACAGCUACAAAAAGGACCUACAACUUCAAGAGCAAAAUGGCCUUCUAAUCCUGAGCCUUCCCACUCCUCCAGAAGGAGCUACUUUGUGUGUAUAGCAUCUUGCUUUUGAUUUAUUUUUCCAGACUAAACAGCACACCAUGGAUAUGAAAAUACACCUAAUUUUCCCUACAGUUUAACAAAAAACCUCAAGUCAUCCUCUUUUGUCUGCCAGAAAAUUAAGUAGAACAUUAAGUCUUUAUGUUCGGGCACCUUCCUAUUUUGUUUUAAAACAGGGGAACAUCGCUCUUUAAUACCCCAUAAUCUUGGGGGAAGCAGUUUUAGGAGAGCUUGCCUUCAUGUCAUAAAUUAGUCUCUUUUUUGUGUGUGUGGCUACCAGUUCUCCUAAGUAUAUACUUUUUUCCUAAGCUAUAUUUUAGUAAGAUUGUCCCUCCAGUCAGUUCGUGGUGCACCAGUUUGCAAUAGCAAAGGUACAGGAACAUGCAGCUAGGAGUGGAACAAGAAUGAAGUCAUCCCUUUGGUCAGCUGCUGACUCUUGUAUCGCACUAAUGAAACAAGUGAACCAUAUCUUAUAAUUAGUUCCAGCUGAGGAACAGUACAAGAACACCAAGUAAAAGACAAUUCACAGCUAUUACAAUUUCCUGAAUUGUGCCCCAUUAGAGAAAAACCCUGAUAUUAUCAAAUACAUGCAUCUAGAUCCCAUUAUCUAUCAUGUACCUCAAGUUUCUUCAAAGUUCUUAAUUUUGCAAAAGGUUGUAUUUUAAGUGUCUUUAUUUGGUCAAAGGUAAAAGAAGCAAUCUUGUAUGUAUAAAAAAAAACCUAACCCCUUAAAAUUCAAUCAGCAAAUAAUAAAACAGCUUAUAACACAAACAUAUUUAAUGAUUACUAAAAUAGUUUAUGUAAUAUACAGAUAUGCUAUCAGGACACACUCAGAAAUAAAUCACAGUUGUUUUUGUAAAGAAAAAAAUUUGUCCAGUUAAAUGUCUAAAAUGUAAAUGCCAUAUUUUCCUUCCUGAGCUAUUCUUAAACAUCCAGAACAGCA